GAUAAAUAAAAGUUUACUUGUUUUUUUUAGGGGAAAUGGAAAAAGAAAAAGAAUAAAUAUAUUUAGCCAGUUUUCUAUUGGAUACCUUAGACAAAGAAAUAAUGGAGACGCCAGUACAUUAGAUAAGAAGCUGAUAUGUGUAGACUAUAGAGAGCUAGAGAAUGGCUGCUACUAUUGGGAUAAUCAUUCACACUUUUUCUUUAGUUGUAAUUUUGUUCAGCUUUACCUCUAUCUAAAUUCAGCUGCUGAAGGCAAAAUGUCCAAGACUUGACCAGGUAUCCAAGUGCAAAAUUCCUAAUAAUAGCCCAUAGGCAAGCCAUUCCCAUUGCUAAAAUUGUGUGCAAACAUCAAGGGACUAGACAAAACAAGCAUCCCACAGACAGACAAAACUGGCAGGCAUUUCUUGUUCCUCAGCAAGGACUAUCAUAGCUGCUUCUGAUCAGUGGGAAACUGCUUCAGAGAUUAAUUCAGCAGAAGCUGGAAAAUAAAUUCUCUUAUAUGUUUAUUCAACUGAAUCAUCUGCCAGAGCUCUCACUUUUGUAUUCCUUACAUUCUUAUGAUUUAAUUUUGAAAAUAAGCAAAUCUGAGUUUCAACUCUUGUAAGCAGAUUGAUAUUUCAAUUGAAAGAAAUAAGUGAAUUAAUGAGUGUUCCUUUCAUGA